CGGGACGUAGCCUAGAGGCUAAGGCGCCUGCUUUGGGAGCAGGAGAUCGGCGGUUCAAAUCCGCCCGUCCCGA
rnacentral:tRNA from 1 species